rnacentral:rRNA from 1 species
GACGAACGCUGGCGGCGUGCUUAACACAUGCAAGUCGAGCGGUAAGGCCUUACGGGGUUCCCGUGCGGCGUUGGGGGUAGUAACACGUGGAGGAUCUGAACUGAACUUCGGGAUUCGCCUGGGAUAAUGGAUCUAAUCCCGCAUCUGACCCCCUAUCGCAUUGUGGGUGGUAGCAGGAGAUAUCGGUGCAGGAUGGGCCUGCGGCCUAUGAGCUUGUUGGUGGGGUAAUGGCGUACAAAGGCGCAGACGGGUGGCCGCCCUGAGCGGGUGACCGGCCACAUGGGGACUGAGACACGGCCCAGACUCCUACGGGAGGCAGAAGUGGGGAAUAUUGCACAAUGGGCGAAAGCCUGAUGCAGCGACGCCGCGUGAGGGAUGACGGCCUUCGGGUUGUAAACCGCUUUCGGCUGGGACGAAGCGCAAGUGACGGUACCUGCAGAAGAAGCACCGGCUAACUACGUG